AUGGCCCCAAACAGAGCCCCCGGACCUGACAAUAUUCCCGUUGAAUUUUAUCAGGUCUGUUGGGAGAUCGUUAAAGAUGAUAUCAUGGCCCUGUUUGAUCAUUUCCAUUGAGGGAAACUUGAUGUUAAAUGCCUCAAUUAUGGGAUCAUUAACCUUCUGCCGAAAGUGUCGAGUGCUGAGAGAAUCCAGCAAUUCAGGUCGAUCUGCCUACUUAGAUGCCCCUACAAGCUCAUAACUAAGGUGCUCGACCGCAGAGUUGCUAUAUAUGAAGAUAAGCUAAUUAGCCUAAAUGCAUUUGUAAAAGGGAGGAACAUCAUGGAUGGAGUGCUCUCACUCCAUGAUAUACUCAAUUACACACAUGUCAAGAAGAGAGUGGGGAUUGUUCUUAAACUAGAUUUUGAAAAAACCUACAACAAAGUAAAUUGGGAUUUCCUUAUCAAGUGUCACAAAAUGCGAGGCUUCAAUGAAACUUGGCGUGGAUGGAUUAAAUAA
rnacentral:rRNA from 1 species